rnacentral:lncRNA from 1 species
CGAAAGAGUAACCCGUUGGACGACAGUCCAGAGCCGAAAGCACGAAACACCACCAGAACAGGUAACAUUAGAAGACGAAAGCGAGUGUUCCUACCUUUUUACUUCGUGUUAUAAGAGACUAUAUAGUAAAUACAGAAGAACGAAAGUAAGAGAAAGAAAGAAGAAAAUAGAAGUAGGUUGCUGCACUUGCGUCGGUGUUCCCGAGUUUGGGAGUAGCACUUUAAUUUUUUUCUUUGGAUACGGAGGUUGAUCCUCAAACUACCAUCAAUAAAUCACCAUGCGCAGCCUGAGUAUAGCCGUUCUCCUCGUCGCCUGCCUCGCAGCCAUCAUCUCCAGAGAAUCGGCCGUCCAAGCAAGACCAAGGAUGGGCAUCCCAACUUUAAUGCAGGGUGGUAUGCCAUUCGGCAAGAGGGGUUACAUCGGAAAAAAUGCAAGAGACUGCUUCCACAGUGCACUCAACGAUGAUAAAAACAGCGAAGAACUUCUUGGUCUGAUUGAGGCAUGGUACAGGAUGAAAAUUGAUGAUGCAUUUAGUUGUAUGAACGGAUUAUCAACAUUCGAUGAUGUCGAUGCAUAGUAGAAGUAAAAACUUUUGUUUUGUUCAUCGUUUCAUCGUGUCUUCAUGUUGCUUCAGUAAAUCUUCUCUUCUUCACCUACCUAUAAGAUGACAUCAUUGCACGUAGUCAAAGAAAGUGGACUUUGCCUGGUGAAACAAUUCGGAUAAACAAGGAAGACCCAAUUAUCGCAACAAGAGAUAUAAAAAGAAGUGGACGAUUUAAUGAGGUUGUAAAAUGACAGCUUUGUGAAGACCUAUUUGAACUGAGCCUGUCAGCGGAAUGUCAGAAACAGCCUUUAUGUUUAUUCUCUCUGUCCUCGAAUUUGAUAUUUUUGUUUUGAUUAAUACCUAAUUAGCGGUGUGAAAGAUAAUUUGUUGGCCAAUAACUGACUCUUCUUUCUAAAUUACUAAUGGUGUUAUGAUAAUAUGAUUUUAAAAACGAUUACUUAGGUGGAUAUAUUACGUUGCACGUAGCACAGAAGUGGAAUCAUUCACCGUUCUCCCUCGCAGGGAAAGUUAUUUGCCUGGAAAAUGGACGAAAAAUUGGCAAGAGGAAACGAAGAGUGAAAAAAGAAGGAGACUAUGCAAUGUCAAUCAAAGAUUUGGAACCUUUGGAAGGAUAGCUGUACCCAUAGGAAAUGGCUGACACGAUGAGAUGGGCAGGUCGUGCAGCUAUAUAGAACUCACCACUCCCUCGGUAUGGUAUACAUGGCCUUUCUGCCCGUUUAAAUUACAAUCAACGAUACCAAACAAAUGGCUAUUGAUCUAUUCCAUUCCACCAAACUCAAAGGGCUGAUAAGUCUUACGAGGACUAUCCACUAUAACUUGAUAGAAAGGCUAGCAGGCAAAGCAAAUAAGUGGUCAUAUCGAUGCUUUAUUACACAGCACGAGUGACAACCAUCUUGUUCCAUUAUCUCUUCCAUUUUCCUGUCUCUCGUCACAUUCUCAGAUUAUAAAUACGUUACUCGAACAUUCAUGAACUAUAUAGGUUAUGUUUAUCGUGUUGAAUAUCAUUUAGACUGGCCUAAUUCCACUUCUUAGCACUCAACUGCACUUAUUUUUGUGAUCGAAAUCUCGUUUGCGUAUCGUAUUGGACUAGAAUCACCACUGCCGUCAAAUAAUCUGUUAUCUUUUUUGAAAUAGUUGUUCUAGAAGAUGUAAAUAUGAGAAAUUAAUUUCCAACCUAAACCCAAAAUUCUCUUUCACCUUUGAAAAGUUUUAUUUUGUUUCGUGUUGUAAAUAUUUUAAUAAAGAUAGUAAAAAAAUAUGUAGCUUAUUAUAUUAGUGCACGCUAUUAUGCUAUCGUUAGGCCUAACCUCGAAACUCACCAUGUCUUGGCGUUAUCAAAUUUCUGAACUAACAUAGGCAUUUAUUUGCUAUUUCAAUCUAUCAUUUUGAUUAUUUAUCUCCUUUAAGUACAAACAAAAGCAUGAAAGUUCAAUUUUGACAUGCUAUUUCUAAAUAAAAUUUCACUCCUAUCCAUCCUA